rnacentral:rRNA from 1 species
UACGGAGGGGGCUAGCGUUGUUCGGAAUCACGUGGCGUAAAGGGUGCGUAGGCGGGUCUUUAAGUCAGGGGUGAAAUCCUGGAGCUCAACUCCAGAACUGCCUUUGAUACUGAGGAUCUUGAGUUCGGGAGAGGUGAGUGGAACUGCGAGUGUAGAGGUGAAAUUCGUAGAUAUUCGCAAGAACACCAGUGGCGAAGGCGGCUCACUGGCCCGAUACUGACGCUGAGGCACGAAAGCGUGGGGAGCAAACAGG